rnacentral:rRNA from 1 species
GUGGGGAAUCUUAGACAAUGGGGGCAACCCUGAUCUAGCCAUGCCGCGUGAGUGAUGAAGGCCUUAGGGUUGUAAAGCUCUUUCAGCUGGGAAGAUAAUGACGGUACCAGCAGAAGAAGCCCCGGCUAACUCCGUGCCAGCAGCCGCGGUAAUACGGAGGGGGCUAGCGUUGUUCGGAAUUACUGGGCGUAAAGCGCACGUAGGCGGACUGGAAAGUCAGAGGUGAAAUCCCAGGGCUCAACCUUGGAACUGCCUUUGAAACUAUCAGUCUGGAGUUCGAGAGAGGUGAGUGGAAUUCCGAGUGUAGAGGUGAAAUUCGUAGAUAUUCGGAGGAACACCAGUGGCGAAGGCGGCUCACUGGCUCGAUACUGACGCUGAGGUGCGAAAGCGUGGGGAGCAAACAGGAUUAGAAACCCGUGUAGUCC